rnacentral:rRNA from 1 species
AACAGGAUUAGAUACCCUGGUAGUCCACGCCGUAAACGAUGUCGACUUGGAGGUUGUGCCCUUGAGGCGUGGCUUCCGGAGCUAACGCGUUAAGUCGACCGCCUGGGGAGUACGGCCGCAAGGUUAAAACUCAAAUGAAUUGACGGGGGCCCGCACAAGCGGUGGAGCAUGUGGUUUAAUUCGAUGCAACGCGAAGAACCUUACCUACUCUUGACAUCCAGAGAACUUAGCAGAGAUGCUUUGGUGCCUUCGGGAACUCUGAGACAGGUGCUGCAUGGCUGUCGUCAGCUCGUGUUGUGAAAUGUUGGGUUAAGUCCCGCAACGAGCGCAACCCUUAUCCUUUGUUGCCAGCGGUUAGGCCGGGAACUCAAAGGAGACUGCCAGUGAUAAACUGGAGGAAGGUGGGGAUGACGUCAAGUCAUCAUGGCCCUUACGAGUAGGGCUACACACGUGCUACAAUGGCAUAUACAAAGAGAAGCGACCUCGCGAGAGCAAGCGGACCUCAUAAAGUAUGUCGUAGUCCGGAUUGGAGUCUGCAACUCGACUCCAUGAAGUCGGAAUCGCUAGUAAUCGUGGAUCAGAAUGCCACGGUGAAUACGCUCCCGGGCCUUGUGCACACCGCCCGUCACACCAUGGGAGUGGGUUGCAAAAGAAGUAGGUAGCUUAACCUUCGGGAGGGCGCUUACCACUUUGUGAUUCAUGACUGGGGUGAAGUCGUAACAAGGUAACC